rnacentral:rRNA from 1 species
CGCGUAGGCGGAUAUUUAAGUCAGAUGUGAAAUAUGCGGGCUUAACCCGGAUAUGCAACUGAUACUGGAUAUCUUGAGUGCAGGAGAGGACAGUGGAAUUCCUAGUGUAGCGGUGAAAUGCGUAGAUAUUAGGAGGAACACCAGUGGCGAAGGCGGCUGUCUGGACUGUAACUGACGCUGAGGCGCGAAAGCGUGGGGAGCAAACA